AUUGAACGCUGGCGGCAUGCUCUACACAUGCAAGUCGAACGGUAACAGGCCGCAAGGUGCUGACGAGUGGCGAACGGGUGCGUAAUGCAUCGGAACGUGCCCAGUCGUGGGGGAUAACUACUCGAAAGAGUAGCUAAUACCGCAUACGAUCUAUGGAUGAAAGCGGGGGACCGUAAGGCCUCGCGCGAUUGGAGCGGCCGAUGUCAGAUUAGGUAGUUGGUGGGGUAAAGGCUCACCAAGCCAACGAUCUGUAGCUGGUCUGAGAGGACGACCAGCCACACUGGGACUGAGACACGGCCCAGACUCCUACGGGAGGCAGCAGUGGGGAAUUUUGGACAAUGGGCGCAAGCCUGAUCCAGCAAUGCCGCGUGCAGGAAGAAGGCCUUCGGGUUGUAAACUGCUGUUGUACGGAACGAAACGGCUCUGGUUAAUACCCGGGGCUAAUGACGGUACCGUAAGAAUAAGCACCGGCUAACUACGUG
rnacentral:rRNA from 1 species